GCCGGCCGCCACGGCCCACCAAGACCUGUUUCGCCGCCAUCGCCGCCGCCGCCGCCGCCGCCGGCGACCACCUUCAGCGUGUUGCAGUACGGCGCCGUCGGCGACGGCGACAAGGACGAUACAAAGGCGUUCGUCGACGCGUGGUCGGCGGCGUGCGCCGUGAGGUCGUCGACGGUGGUGGUGCCGGCGGGCUAUCGGUUCGUCGUCGGCCCGGUCACGUUCACCGGCGACUCUUGCCAACCCAACACCGUCUUUCAGCUGGACGGAACGAUCGUGGCCAACACGGACUCGGGUGCGUGGUGCUCCGGGAACGCAGUGCAGCAGUGGCUCGAGUUCAGGAGCUGCACCGGGCUCACCAUCCAGGGCUCCGGCACCGUCGACGGCCAAGGCAGCCACUGGUGGAGCGGCGGCGCACCGGCGACGGACAUCGACGCAGAUCGCGUCGGGACAAACAACAGGCCAACAGCUUUGAGGGUGUACGAGAGCACGAACGUGGCGGUGACAGGGAUAACCAUACAGAACAGCGCCAGGUUCCACCUCACCUUCGACACCUGCCGCGCCGUCGAGGUGCGCGGCGUCGCCAUCCGAUCGCCGGGCGACAGCCCAAACACGGACGGCAUCCACCUCGCCGGCUCCGUCGGCGUCUCCAUCCAGAACGCCACCGUGGCGUGCGGCGACGACUGCGUCUCCAUCCAGGACGGCUGCUCGCGCGUGCUCGUCCGCGGCGUCACCUGCGGCCCGGGCCACGGCAUCAGCAUCGGCGGGCUCGGCAAGGGCGGCGCCAUGGCCGUCGUGUCGGACGUGACAGUGCAGGACGUGUCCCUGGUGGGGACGUCGGCGGGGGUGAGGAUCAAGACGUGGCAGGGCGGGUCCGGGUCGGUGAGGGGCGUGCUGUUCUCCGGCGUGCGCGUGUCGGCGGUGAAGACGCCGAUCGUGAUCGACCAGUACUACUGCGACCACGCGACGUGCGCCAACCAGACGGCGGCGGUGGCCGUGUCCGGCGUGGCGUACAGCGGCAUCACGGGGACGUACACGCAGCGGCCCGUGUACCUGGCGUGCAGCGACGCGGCGCCGUGCGCCGGGCUGCGCCUCGAGGACAUCAAGCUCGCGCCGGUGAAGGACGGCGGCUACGGCCGCCUCUACGGGCCAUUCUGCUGGAAGGCGUACGGCGACGAGGUGCGCCCGGUCGUGCCACCGGUGGACUGCCUCAUGGCCGGAGAGCCGUGAUGACGCCGGACAUGACAUUGUUUACUUGAACUGCAUGCGCGCCACGAUCGCCGUACGUGAUUCUGCCGACCCCGUUUGUAGCUUACACGGAUUGUACGAUAUAGAUGAAUGUAUGUAAAUGUAAAUGUUAGUAUUAGCAGAAAACGAAGAUAGAAUUACGGGAUUCAUAGACAGGACAGGACAGGCUGAUUCUUGAAGCAUGAUUGUCACACCCCGCCCUGGCACCGCCGUACGGUACGGCGCCUAG
rnacentral:lncRNA from 1 species